CCUACGGGAGGCAGCAGUCGAGAAUCAUUCACAAUGGGGGAAACCCUGAUGGUGCGACGCCGCGUGGGGGAAUGAAGGUCUUCGGAUUGUAAACCCCUGUCAUGUGGGAGCAAAUUAAAAAGAUAGUACCACAAGAGGAAGAGACGGCUAACUCUGUGCCAGCAGCCGCGGUAAUACAGAGGUCUCAAGCGUUGUUCGGAAUCACUGGGCGUAAGGCGUGCGUAGGCUGUUUCGUAAGUCGUGUGUGAAAGGCGCGGGCUCAACCCGCGGACGGCACAUGAUACUGCGAGACUAGAGUAAUGGAGGGGGAACCGGAAUUCUCGGUGUAGCAGUGAAAUGCGUAGAUAUCGAGAGGAACACUCGUGGCGAAGGCGGGUUCCUGGACAUUAACUGACGCUGAGGCACGAAGGCCAGGGGAGCGAAAGGGAUUAGAUACCCCGUGUAGUC
rnacentral:rRNA from 1 species